rnacentral:miRNA from 1 species
UGGUAAAGCGCCUGUCUCGUAAACAGGAGAUCCUGGGUUCGAUCCCCAGUGGCGCCAGCUUUUU